CUGCUCUCUGGUCUCCCAAGGCCCUUGAUUUAUAGGGUCCCCACGGACGGAAGCUUUCCCCCGUCAGCGGGUCUCCACUGAAUCACCGGCAGGAGUCCUGGAUGAUCCCCCGGUCGCACGGCCCCUCCCCCGCUCCUUCCCGACCCGUGCGGCAGGGAUCGCAGACUCUAGGGGAGGGAGCGAUGUUCUCUCCUACCGUUCCAGCGCCUCCGAGGGUAUGAAUGAAAUCAAAUGUAAUCAAUUUGUGAGAUGCUGGCUGGACCCUCAGGGAACGUGCCAUGUAUGUCUGAUGAUUGUAUUCACUCUUGGCACAUUUGGCGCUGGAGAGUGGCUGUGGCCACAUCAGCCUUGGACUCUUCUUUGUUUGGUCAAGAGACUCCUCCGUUGGCACCAGACCACUCCACAAAUAGACUGCAAUGCCUUUUUAAAGAAUGACACAUGACCGGGUAAUUUUCUGAGUAUAAAAAAGACAAUUGCAGAAAGAAAUUAUGUUCUGCCUCAUGGAUAUUUGUGGAUGUCCAGAAGAGUUAAACAUGCAUCUAUCCUUUUCUUGAUCAUUUUCUCAAAAAUUUAGACAAGAAAAAGAAGAAUGAAUAGAGGAAAUUGCUCCUCCAUGACUGAAUUCAUUUUCCUUGGAAUCACCAACAACACUAGGAUGAAAGUAACCCUAUUUACCAUGUUUCUGGUUGUUUAUCUCGUU
rnacentral:lncRNA from 1 species